AGCAGUAGCCGCGGUAAUACGUAGGUCCCGAGCGUUGUCCGGAUUUAUUGGGCGUAAAGCGAGCGCAGGCGGUUAGAUAAGUCUGAAGUUAAAGGCUGUGGCUUAACCAUAGUACGCUUUGGAAACUGUUUAACUUGAGUGCAGAAAGGGAGAGUGGAAUUCCAUGUGUAGCGGUGAAAUGCGUAGAGAUGUGGAGGAACACCAGUGGCGAAGGCGACUCUCUGGUCUGUAACUGACGCUGAGGAGCGAAAGCGUGGGGAGCGAACAGGAUUAGAUACCCCUGUAGUCCCUGUCUCUUAUACA
rnacentral:rRNA from 1 species